CAUAGGUUAACGAGGCGAACCGGGGGAACUGAAACAUCUAAGUACCCCGAGGAAAAGAAAUCAACCGAGAUUCCCCCAGUAGCGGCGAGCGAACGGGGAGCAGCCCAGAGUCUGAAUCAGCUUGUGUGUUAGUGGAAGCGUCUGGAAAGUCGCACGGUACAGGGUGACAGUCCCGUACACGAAAAUGCACAGGUUGUGAACUCGAAGAGUAGGGCGGGACACGUGGUAUCCUGUCUGAAUAUGGGGGGACCAUCCUCCAAGGCUAAAUACUCCUGACUGACCGAUAGUGAACCAGUACCGUGAGGGAAAGGCGAAAAGAACCCCGGCGAGGGGAGUGAAAAAGAACCUGAAACCGUGUACGUACAAGCAGUGGGAGCACCUUCGUGGUGUGACUGCGUACCUUUUGUAUAAUGGGUCAGCGACUUAUAUUCUGUAGCAAGGUUAACCGUAUAGGGGAGCCGAAGGGAAACCGAGUCUUAACUGGGCGUUAAGUUGCAGGGUAUAGACCCGAAACCCGGUGAUCUAGCCAUGGGCAGGUUGAAGGUUGGGUAACACUAACUGGAGGACCGAACCGACUAAUGUUGAAAAAUUAGCGGAUGACUUGUGGCUGGGGGUGAAAGGCCAAUCAAACCGGGAGAUAGCUGGUUCUCCCCGAAAGCUAUUUAGGUAGCGCCUCGUGAACUCAUCUUCGGGGGUAGAGCACUGUUUCGGCUAGGGGGCCAUCCCGGCUUACCAACCCGAUGCAAACUACGAAUACCGAAGAAUGUUAUCACGGGAGACACACGGCGGGUGCUAACGUCCGUCGUGAAGAGGGAAACAACCCAGACCGCCAGCUAAGGUCCCAAAGUCAUGGUUAAGUGGGAAACGAUGUGGGAAGGCACAGACAGCCAGGAUGUUGGCUUAGAAGCAGCCAUCAUUUAAAGAAAGCGUAAUAGCUCACUGGUCGAGUCGGCCUGCGCGGAAGAUGUAACGGGGCUAAACCAUGCAC
rnacentral:rRNA from 1 species